UUGACCGCGUACAAACCUAAUUGAGGGUAAAAGAAACGCGUUGGCGAAGUCGGUUCGGCAAUCCGUCGAGCCUACGCGAAGAUAUCGCCAAAAGAACAGUUUCGGCGACAAGUGUCGGGAGCGCGGGUCGCGAUUCGUGGAAAAGUGCAAGAAGUGGAUUUCUCUCAUUCCAAUACCAAGUAAAGGUUGCACGCGAGCGGCGCGGCGGCGCGAGGACAGGGCGUAGUUUCGUAGAUAGCACCCCACCACUGAGACCGAGAUAGCAAUACCCUGAAGAGGUCAAGCUCAGCGUAUCAGUAUGAAUGAAACAAAAUUGUAGUAAAAGUGUAUAAGUUGUAAUAAUUUAAAGGCUUAUGUAUUAUUGUAAAAGUAAAAAUUCUGAGAUGAAUGCUUGUAAUAGCAUAGUUAGCAUUUUAUGUUUUUGAUACUUA